CAGCAGCCGCGGGAAUACGUAGGUGGCGAGCGUUGUCCGGAAUUAUUGGGCGUAAAGGGAGCGCAGGCGGACAUAUAAGUCCAUCUUAAAAGUGCGGGGCUCAACCCCGUGAGGGGAUGGAAACUGUAUGCCUUGAGUGCAGGAGAGGAAAGCGGGAUUCCCAGUGUAGCGGUGAAAUGCGCAGAUAUUGGGAGGAACACCAGUGGCGAAGGCGGCUUUCUGGACUGCAACUGACGCUGAGGCUCGAAAGCCAGGGGAGCGAACGGGAUUAGAGACCCCCGUAGUCCCUGUCUCUUAUACA
rnacentral:rRNA from 1 species